GAUGAACGCUGGCUACAGGCUUAACACAUGCAAGUCGAGGGGAAACGGCAUUGAGUGCUUGCACUGAAUGGACGUCGACCGGCGCACGGGUGAGUAACGCGUAUCCAACCUUCCCGUUACUGCGGGAUAACCUGCCGAAAGGCAGACUAAUACCGCAUGUUCUUCGAUGACGGCAUCAGAUUCGAAGCAAAGAUCCGUCGGUAACGGAGGGGGAUGCGUCUGAUUAGCUUGUUGGCGGGGUAACGGCCCACCAAGGCAACGAUCAGUAGGGGUUCUGAGAGGAAGGUCCCCCACAUUGGAACUGAGACACGGUCCAAACUCCUACGGGAGGCAGCAGUGAGGAAUAUUGGUCAAUGGACGGAAGUCUGAACCAGCCAAGUAGCGUGCAGGAAGACGGCCCUAUGGGUUGUAAACUGCUUUUGUAUGGGGAUAAAGUCAAUCACGUGUGAUUGUUUGCAGGUACCAUACGAAUAAGGACCGGCUAAUUCCGUGCCAGCAGCCGCGGUAAUACGGAAGGUUCGGGUGUUAUCCGGAUUUAUUGGGUUUAAAGGGAGCGUAGGCCGGAGAUUAAGUGUGUUGUGAAAUGUAGACGCUCAACGUCUGACUUGCAGCGCAUACUGGUUUCCUUGAGUACGCACAACGUUGGCGGAAUUCGUCGUGUAGCGGUGAAAUGCUUAGAUAUGACGAAGAACUCCGAUUGCGAAGGCAGCUGACGGGAGCGCAACUGACGCUGAAGCUCGAAGGUGCGGGUAUCGAACAGGAUUAGAUACCCUGGUAGUCCGCACAGUAAACGAUGGAUGCCCGCUGUUGGUACCUAGUAUCAGCGGCUAAGCGAAAGCAUUAAGCAUCCCACCUGGGGAGUACGCCGGCAACGGUGAAACUCAAAGGAAUCGACGGGGGCCCGCACAAGCGGAGGAACAUGUGGCUUAAUUCGAUGAUACGCGAGGAACCCUACCGGGCCUGAAUUGCAGAGGAAGGAUUUAGAGAUAGUGACGCCCCUUCGGGGGUCUCUGUGAAGGUGCCUGCAUGGGUUGUCGUCAGCCUCGUGCCGUGAGGUGUCGGCUUUAAGUGCCAUAACGAGCGCCACCCGCUCUCUUCAGUUGCCAUCAGGGUUAGCUGGGCACUCAUGAAAACCCGUCUACGUUAGGGUUAGGACGGUGGGAUACGUCAAGCAGCACGCCCUAGUUCGGGC
rnacentral:rRNA from 1 species